GACAGAGGGUGCAAACGUUUGUUCGGAAUUACUGGGCGUAAAGCGUGUGUAGGCGGCUAGGUAAGUCGGAUGUGAAAGCCCCAGGCUCAACCUGGGAAGUGCACUCGAUACUGCUUAGCUCGAGUACUGGAGAGGUUGGUGGAAUUCUCGGUGUAGAGGUGAAAUUCGUAGAUAUCGAGAGGAACACCGGUGGCGAAGGCGGCCAACUGGACAGAUACUGACGCUGAGACACGAAAAGCGUGGGGAUCAAACAGG
rnacentral:rRNA from 1 species